rnacentral:rRNA from 1 species
GGUCGAGUGACUCUGCGCGGAAAAUAUAACGGGGCUAAGUAUGCAACCGAAGCUUGGGAUUGUCUAAAGACAGUGGUAGGGGAGCGUCGUGUAUGGGGUGAAGUCGCAUCGGAAGGAGCGGUGGACUGUACACGAGUGAGAAUGCCGGAAUGAGUAGCGAGAAUUAUGUGGGAAUCAUAAUGGCCGAAAAUCUAAGGUUUCUUGGGGAAGGUUCGUCCGCCCAAGGUAAGCCGGGAGCUAAGGCGAGGCCGCAAGGCGUAGUCGAUGCACAUACGGUAGAAAUUCCGUAGCCACCGAACCUUAAACCGGAAGGACACUUUCAGAUAGCAGAACCCAGCCGUUGGUAGAGCUGGGCGAAAGGGACUGAAAUAUAGUAGGGAAGUCUGCGAUGCUGAGAGGCGAGAAAAGCUCCGGUGUAUGCUAAGGUGCCCGUACCGCAAACCGACACAGGUAGAUGAGGAGAGAAUCCUAAGGCCAACGGGAGAAGGGUUGUUAAGGAACUCGGCAAAUUGACCCCGUAACUUCGGAAGAAGGGGAGCCCCGAAAGGGGCCGCAGUGAAUAGGCCCAAGCAACUGUUUACCAAAAACACAGGUUUAUGCUAAAUCGAAAGAUGACGUAUAUGAGCUGACGCCUGCCCGGUGCCGGAAGGUUAAGAGGAGAUGUCAACCUUAAGGUGAAGCAUUGAAUUGAAGCCCCGGUAAACGGCGGCCGUAACUAUAACGGUCCUAAGGUAGCGAAAUUCCUUGUCAGGUAAGUUCUGACCCGCACGAAUGGCGUAAUGAUUUGGGCACUGUCUCGACAGCCCGCCCGGCGAAAUUGUAGUACUGGUGAAGAUGCCAGUUACCCGCAACUAGACGGAAAGACCCCAUGGAGCUUUACUGCAGUUUAAUACUGGGAAUCGGUAAUUCAUGUACAGGAUAGGUGGGAGACUGGGAAGCAUGGCCGUCAGGUCGUGUGGAGUCACCGGUGGGAUACCACUCUUGGAUUGCUGGUUUCCUAACCUGCGGCCCUGAAUCGGGUCGGGGGACACUGUUAGACGGGCAGUUUGACUGGGGCGGUCGCCUCCAAAAGAGUAACGGAGGCGCUCAAAGGUUCGUUCAGCACGGACGGAAAUCGUGCAUUGAGUGUAAACGCAUAAACGAGCCUAACUGCGAGACCGACGGGUCGAGCAGUAACGAAAGUUGGAGUUAGUGAUCCGGUGGUAUGUGAGUGG